AGGACGAACGCUGGCGGCGUGCUUAACACAUGCAAGUCGAGCGGUAAGGCCUUUCGGGGUACACGAGCGGCGAACGGGUGAGUAACACGUGGGUGAUCUGCCCUGCACUCUGGGAUAAGCCUGGGAAACUGGGUCUAAUACCGGAUAUGACCUGCUCUCGCAGUGGGGGGUGGGUGGAAAGAUUUAUCGGUGCAGGAUGGGCCCGCGGCCUAUCAGUCUUGUUGGUGGGUAAUGGCCUACCAAGGCGACGACGGGUAGCCGACCUGAGAGGGUGACCGGCACGACUGGGACUGAGACACGGCCCAGACUCUACGGGAGCAGCAGUGGGAAUAUGCACAAGUGGGACGAAAGCCUGAUGCAGCGACGCCGCGUGAGGAUGA
rnacentral:rRNA from 1 species